rnacentral:lncRNA from 1 species
GUCGCAACUAAAGUUAGAGAUUAAUUUGAGAUCAUCUGUGAUGAGACCAUUAAUAUUUAAUCGUUGAAUUGUAUUAUUUUUAGAGUGGUAUUUUUCUAACCUGAAAAAAUAAGAUGAAUUUUGUCCACCCUCCUCUAGUCACUUCUUCCGAGAUCUGACAAAGGCUCCCUCUGCUUUCAGUUCAUGCAGGUUUCCUCUGCUUUCAGUUUAUACAGGCUCCCUCUGCUUUCAGUUCAUACAGGCUCCCUCUGCUUUCAGUUUAUACAGGCUCCCUCUGCUUUCAGUUCAUACAGGCUCCCUCUGCUUUCAGUUCAUACAGGCUCCCUCUGCUUUCAGUUUAUACAGGCUCCCUCUGCUUUCAGUUCAUACAGGCUCCCUCUGCUUUCAGUUCAUACAGGCUCCCUCUGCUUUCAGUUCAUA